rnacentral:rRNA from 1 species
GGUUAAGCGACUAAGCGUACACGGUGGAUGCCCUGGCAGUCAGAGGCGAUGAAGGACGUGCUAAUCUGCGAUAAGCGUCGGUAAGGUGAUAUGAACCGUUAUAACCGGCGAUUUCCGAAUGGGGAAACCCAGUGUGAUUCGUCACACUAUCAUUAACUGAAUCCAUAGGUUAAUGAGGCGAACCGGGGGAACUGAAACAUCUAAGUACCCCGAGGAAAAGAAAUCAACCGAGAUUCCCCCAGUAGCGGCGAGCGAACGGGGAGGAGCCCAGAGCCUGAAUCAGUGUGUGUGUUAGUGGAAGCGUCUGGAAAGGCGCGCGAUACAGGGUGACAGCCCCGUACACAAAAAUGCACAUGCUGUGAGCUCGAUGAGUAGGGCGGGACACGUGGUAUCCUGUCUGAAUAUGGGGGGACCAUCCUCCAAGGCUAAAUACUCCUGACUGACCGAUAGUGAACCAGUACCGUGAGGGAAAGGCGAAAAGAACCCCGGCGAGGGGAGUGAAAAAGAACCUGAAACCGUGUACGUACAAGCAGUGGGAGCACGCUUAGGCGUGUGACUGCGUACCUUUUGUAUAAUGGGUCAGCGACUUAUAUUCUGUAGCAAGGUUAACCGAAUAGGGGAGCCGAAGGGAAACCGAGUCUUAACUGGGCGUUAAGUUGCAGGGUAUAGACCCGAAACCCGGUGAUCUAGCCAUGGGCAGGUUGAAGGUUGGGUAACACUAACUGGAGGACCGAACCGACUAAUGUUGAAAAAUUAGCGGAUGACUUGUGGCUGGGGGUGAAAGGCCAAUCAAACCGGGAGAUAGCUGGUUCUCCCCGAAAGCUAUUUAGGUAGCGCCUCGUGAAUUCAUCUCCGGGGGUAGAGCACUGUUUCGGCAAGGGGGUCAUCCCGACUUACCAACCCGAUGCAAACUGCGAAUACCGGAGAAUGUUAUCACGGGAGACACACGGCGGGUGCUAACGUCCGUCGUGAAGAGGGAAACAACCCAGACCGCCAGCUAAGGUCCCAAAGUCAUGGUUAAGUGGGAAACGAUGUGGGAAGGCCCAGACAGCCAGGAUGUUGGCUUAGAAGCAGCCAUCAUUUAAAGAAAGCGUAAUAGCUCACUGGUCGAGUCGGCCUGCGCGGAAGAUGUAACGGGGCUAAACCAUGCACCGAAGCUGCGGCAGCGACGCUGAUGCGUUGUUGGGUAGGGGAGCGUUCUGUAAGCCUGCGAAGGUGUGCUGUGAGGCAUGCUGGAGGUAUCAGAAGUGCGAAUGCUGACAUAAGUAACGAUAAAGCGGGUGAAAAGCCCGCUCGCCGGAAGACCAAGGGUUCCUGUCCAACGUUAAUCGGGGCAGGGUGAGUCGACCCCUAAGGCGAGGCCGAAAGGCGUAGUCGAUGGGAAACAGGUUAAUAUUCCUGUACUUGGUGUUACUGCGAAGGGGGGACGGAGAAGGCUAUGUUGGCCGAGCGACGGUUGUCCCGGUUUAAGCGUGUAGGCUGGUUUUCCAGGCAAAUCCGGAAAAUCAAGGCUGAGGCGUGAUGACGAGGCACUACGGUGCUGAAGCAACAAAUGCCCUGCUUCCAGGAAAAGCCUCUAAGCAUCAGGUAACAUCAAAUCGUACCCCAAACCGACACAGGUGGUCAGGUAGAGAAUACCAAGGCGCUUGAGAGAACUCGGGUGAAGGAACUAGGCAAAAUGGUGCCGUAACUUCGGGAGAAGGCACGCUGAUAUGUAGGUGAAGUCCCUCGCGGAUGGAGCUGAAAUCAGUCGAAGAUACCAGCUGGCUGCAACUGUUUAUUAAAAACACAGCACUGUGCAAACACGAAAGUGGACGUAUACGGUGUGACGCCUGCCCGGUGCCGGAAGGUUAAUUGAUGGGGUCAGCGCAAGCGAAGCUCUUGAUCGAAGCCCCGGUAAACGGCGGCCGUAACUAUAACGGUCCUAAGGUAGCGAAAUUCCUUGUCGGGUAAGUUCCGACCUGCACGAAUGGCGUAAUGAUGGCCAGGCUGUCUCCACCCGAGACUCAGUGAAAUUGAACUCGCUGUGAAGAUGCAGUGUACCCGCGACAAGACGGAAAGACCCCGUGAACCUUUACUAUAGCUUGACACUGAACAUUGAGCCUUGAUGUGUAGGAUAGGUGGGAGGCUUUGAAGUGUGGACGCCAGUCUGCAUGGAGCCGACCUUGAAAUACCACCCUUUAAUGUUUGAUGUUCUAACGUUGACCCGUGAUCCGGGUUGCGGACAGUGUCUGGUGGGUAGUUUGACUGGGGCGGUCUCCUCCUAAAGAGUAACGGAGGAGCACGAAGGUUGGCUAAUCCUGGUCGGACAUCAGGAGGUUAGUGCAAUGGCAUAAGCCAGCUUGACUGCGAGCGUGACGGCGCGAGCAGGUGCGAAAGCAGGUCAUAGUGAUCCGGUGGUUCUGAAUGGAAGGGCCAUCGCUCAACGGAUAAAAGGUACUCCGGGGAUAACAGGCUGAUACCGCCCAAGAGUUCAUAUCGACGGCGGUGUUUGGCACCUCGAUGUCGGCUCAUCACAUCCUGGGGCUGAAGUAGGUCCCAAGGGUAUGGCUGUUCGCCAUUUAAAGUGGUACGCGAGCUGGGUUUAGAACGUCGUGAGACAGUUCGGUCCCUAUCUGCCGUGGGCGCUGGAGAACUGAGGGGGGCUGCUCCUAGUACGAGAGGACCGGAGUGGACGCAUCACUGGUGUUCGGGUUGUCAUGCCAAUGGCACUGCCCGGUAGCUAAAUGCGGAAGAGAUAAGUGCUGAAAGCAUCUAAGCACGAAACUUGCCCCGAGAUGAGUUCUCCCUGACUCCUUGAGAGUCCUGAAGGAACGUUGAAGACGACGACGUUGAUAGGCCGGGUGUGUAAGCGCAGCGAUGCGUUGAGCUAACCGGUACUAAUGAACCGUGAGGCUUAACCUUACAACGCCGAAGCUGUUUUG